AGGUUCCGCAGGUCCACAACUGCAUAUGGCCUGUAGCCCCCAUUCUCCACAUUUGGAGGGGGGUGGGUGGCAAACCAGGGCUUUGAAGCGGACCUGCAGAUUUCCCUCAAAUCCAGCUAAGGCCUGCGCUGGAAGCAGAAACUGAGUUCUCUUGGCCUGCCGCGAGGAGACCCGCGUCCUGCCCCCACCCCAGGAAAUUUGCAGUGACUUUGGAGCCCAGACUGAGGACGCGGAGGUGGCGAAAGGAGAGACAAUACGGGUCCGAAGUACAAUUAAGGGGCCAGAACCGCUCGUCUCUCCCCCGCCCUCCUUGCCCGACUGCGAGCUGUCUGGCCUCAAACCUCAGGGCGACACGCGAACCUGGAGCCGGAAACUCAACCCGUGGCAGAGGGAGUCAGAGGACUCUGCAUCCAGAAAACAGAAGCAAAGCGCCCUUCCAACUUGGGGGCGCCUUAACCAGCCCCGCUGAGUUGCAGAGAACCCAAUGAAUGAAAGUGCAAAUUCCGCCGUUUUUCCUGAUUUUUUUUCCAGCCUUGGGAAGGAGAGCUCAGGGUUUGGGGCGUCUCAGACAGAAAGGCAAACCGCAUCUCCUGAGGCAGACAGACCCACAACAUGAGUGUGAGCCUGAGAUCACAUACAGGUUCAACAUUUCCGGAGGCCUCUUUGCCAGGCCCGGCGGGCGCCGAUCUCCCUACCUUCUCUC